CACACCCUCCCCCUCUACCAUGCCCUUACUUUGGUCUCCUGCCUCGAACACCCCCCCUCACCAUCCCUAGUGGAGAUAUAAUGAUGGAGUGGGAUGAGGCACCUAACCCCCUCCCACUGUAGUAACAACAAGGGGCGGUGGUGUUAAACUUGGUGGCUUGGUGCCACUCACUGCGAUUGGUGUUGAGUUCUAAUAUCAUGCCCCCCACCCA
rnacentral:lncRNA from 1 species